rnacentral:tRNA from 1 species
GGCUCGGUGGUCUAGGGUAUGAUUCUCGCUUUGGGUGCGAGAGGUCCCGGUUCAAAUUCCGGCCGGGCCC